rnacentral:tRNA from 1 species
GUAGGUAUAGCUCAGUGGUAGAGUGCAUGCUUAGCGUGCACGAGGUCCUGGGUUCAAUCCCCAGUACCUCCA